GAUCAUGGCUCAGAUUGAACGCUGGCGGCAGGCUUAACACAUGCAAGUCGAGCGGAGACUUCGGUCUUAGCGGCGAACGGGUGAGUAACACCUAGGAAUCUGCCUAUUAGUGGGGGAUAACGUGUGGAAACGCACGCUAAUACCGCAUACGCCCUACGGGGGAAAGCCGGGGAUCUUCGGACCUGGCGCUAGUAGAUGAGCCCGCGUGAGAUUAGCUUGUUGGUGGGGUAAUGGCCUACCAAGGCAACGAUCUCUAGCUGGUCUGAGAGGACGAUCAGCCACACUGGGACUGAGACACGGCCCAGACUCCUACGGGAGGCAGCAGUGGGGAAUAUUGGACAAUGGGCGAAAGCCUGAUCCAGCAAUGCCGCGUGUGUGAAGAAGGCCUGAGGGUUGUAAAGCACUUUCAAUCGUGAAGAAAAGUUGCAGGCUAAUACCCAGUGACCUUGGCGUUAACGAUACAAGAAGCACCGGCUAACUCCGUG
rnacentral:rRNA from 1 species